rnacentral:lncRNA from 1 species
GUAAGAAGCUGGAUCAUUGAAAAAAAAAUUAUCCUACUUAUAUAGCUACCCUUGACCCAAAUAUACCUAAAAAUAAGAGAAAGAAGCAAAUGGUUGCUUCACAAGGUACUUAUAUGAUAACUCUUUGUAAUUUCUCUAUUUGUGAUACUACUAUCUGGGUAUUGGAUAUUGAAAGUUCUAUUAAUAUAUGCAAUUCAUUGUAGAGACUACAGAUAAGUAGGAAGUUUCGAGAGGACGAGUGG